rnacentral:rRNA from 1 species
AACAACCCCCCGUGAGGGAUGCGGCCUUCGGGUUGUAACCUCUUUUAGCAGGGAAGAAGCGAAAGUGACGGUACCUGCAGAAAAAGCGCCGGCUAACUACGUGCCAGCAGCCGCGGUAAUACGUAGGGCGCAAGCGUUAUCCGGAAUUAUUGGGCGUAAAGAGCUCGUAGGCGGUUUGUCGCGUCUGCUGUGAAAUCCGGAGGCUCAACCUCCGGCCUGCAGUGGGUACGGGCAGACUAGAGUGCGGUAGGGGAGAUUGGAAUUCCUGGUGUAGCGGUGGAAUGCGCAGAUAUCAGGAGGAACACCGAUGGCGAAGGCAGAUCUCUGGGCCGUAACUGACGCUGAGGAGCGAAAGGGUGGGGAGCAAACAGGCUUAGAUACCCUGGUAGUCCACCCCGUAAACGUUGGGAACUAGUUGUGGGGUCCAUUCCACGGAUUCCGUGACGCAGCUAACGCAUUAAGUUCCCCGCCUGGGGAGUACGGCCGCAAGGCUAAAACUCAAAGGAAUUGACGGGGACCCGCACAAGCGGCGGAGCAUGCGGAUUAAUUCGAUGCAACGCGAAGAACCUUACCAAGGCUUGACAUAUACGAGAACGGGCCAGAAAUGGUCAACUCUUUGGACACUCGUAAACAGGUGGUGCAUGGUUGUCGUCAGCUCGUGUCGUGAGAUGUUGGGUUAAGUCCCGCAACGAGCGCAACCCUCGUUCUAUGUUGCCAGCACGUAAUGGUGGGAACUCAUGGGAUACUGCCGGGGUCAACUCGGAGGAAGGUGGGGAUGACGUCAAAUCAUCAUGCCCCUUAUGUCUUGGGCUUCACGCAUGCUACAAUGGCCGGUACAAAGGGCUGCAAUACCGCGAGGUGGAGCGAAUCCCAAAAAGCCGGUCCCAGUUCGGAUUGAGGUCUGCAACUCGACCUCAUGAAGUCGGAGUCGCUAGUAAUCGCAGAUCAGCAACGCUGCGGUGAAUACGUUCCCGGGUCUUGUACACACCGCCCGUCAAGUCAUGAAAGUCGGUAACACCUGAAGCCGGUGGCCUAACCCUUGUGGAGGGAGCCGUCGAAGGUGAUCGAAAAU